ACGUAGGGUGCAAGCGUUAAUCGGAAUUACUGGGCGUAAAGCGUGCGCAGGCGGUUCGGAAAGAAGGAUGUGAAAUCCCAGGGCUCAACUUUGGAACUGCAUUCUUAACUACCGAACUUGAGUAAGUUAGAGGGGGGUGGAAUUCCGCGUGUAGCGGUGAAAUGCGUAGAUAUGAGGAGGAACACCGAUGGCGAAGGCGGCUCCCUGGGAUAUUACUGACUCUGAUGCACGAAAGCGUGGGUAGCAAACAG
rnacentral:rRNA from 1 species